UGGGGAGCAAACAGGAUUAGAUACCCUGGUAGUCCACGCCGUAAACGAUGUCGACUUGGAGGUUGUUCCCUUGAGGAGUGGCUUCCGGAGCUAACGCGUUAAGUCGACCGCCUGGGGAGUACGGCCGCAAGGUUAAAACUCAAAUGAAUUGACGGGGGCCCGCACAAGCGGUGGAGCAUGUGGUUUAAUUCGAUGCAACGCGAAGAACCUUACCUACUCUUGACAUCCAGCGAAUUCGGCAGAGAUGCCUUAGUGCCUUCGGGAACGCUGAGACAGGUGCUGCAUGGCUGUCGUCAGCUCGUGUUGUGAAAUGUUGGGUUAAGUCCCGCAACGAGCGCAACCCUUAUCCUUUGUUGCCAGCACGUCAUGGUGGGAACUCAAAGGAGACUGCCGGUGAUAAACCGGAGGAAGGUGGGGAUGACGUCAAGUCAUCAUGGCCCUUACGAGUAGGGCUACACACGUGCUACAAUGGCGCAUACAAAGAGAAGCGACCUCGCGAGAGCAAGCGGACCUCACAAAGUGCGUCGUAGUCCGGAUCGGAGUCUGCAACUCGACUCCGUGAAGUCGGAAUCGCUAGUAAUCGUGGAUCAGAAUGCCACGGUGAAUACGUUCCCGGGCCUUGUACACACCGCCCGUCACACCAUGGGAGUGGGUUGCAAAAGAAGUAGGUGACUUAGACUCCUACGGCAG
rnacentral:rRNA from 1 species